rnacentral:misc_RNA from 1 species
AACGCAUCUUGCACUCUUUGGUAUUCCGAAGAGUAUGCUUGUUUGAGUGUCUUGAAUUCAUCAACCCUGGCGCUUGGUUUUGCGACCUCGUGGCGGGGCUUGGACUUGGGUGUUUGCCGGUGACAAGCCGGCUCACCUUGAAUUCAUUAGCUGGACUUGCUGGGGUCUUUGGUUUGACUCGGUGUGAUAAGUAUCUUCACUGAGGACACCUUUGGUGGCCAAAACCGCGGCAGCCGCUUCAACUAUUUUUCUUUUAAUUUGACCUCAAAUCAAGUAGGACUACCCGCUGAACUUAA